ensembl:lncRNA
CAAAAAGUGCCGUUCAUUCACGUACGGCUAUGUAGACGAGCGACAAUAUAUUCGGCUUUAUUUACUCCCCGAUUCGAAAACGCCAAUUAGCAUCAAAGUAGACAUCAUGCAAGAUUACAAAUUCUUGCAAGCUCCUGCACAUCAUCUCUAGUUGACCCCUUUGCUAACAGAACAUACCACUUGGAUAAAAAAAAGUUGAUUACUGAAGAGGAAAGGUCCCAUAACCACAAUCUCCCCUUAUAUCAAAGUGACUCCAAACACCUCACUGCACCACAUGCAAGUGGACAAGCCUCUCAUACACUUCCUUCACCAACCACUGCUUCGACCUCUUGCAGAAGAUUUGUUUGUACUGCAAGCACAUGAGGAUGUGUAACCAUAC